UCAAAAUCCUGUUUAUCUUAAAGCAGCUGCUUGUAAAACCCUCCAGUGUUUGUCUAGUUUCCCAGAGCUAUGACAAGGUCCUGGGAUGAGCCCAACACAGACUUCUGAUGUCAUGUGCAGUAAAUUGCUCUCCACUGCUUUUACUAACCAGUUCUUUGUGUCUCUGGGACUCAGUUCUAUCUCCUAAACCAUCCCAUCUGGUACUUAUUACCCUGUCUGUGGGGGGAGAGGAGCAGCUGCUAUUCACAUAGAGAACGGCAUGAAAUGGGCCAGGUAGACCUGAGUGUGGCCAUUCCAUUUUCCCAGCCCCCCACUCCCACCCUUUGUAGAUAUAUGGAAGUGGGGUCCACAGGAAGGAACUUAGCCUGGGCUAUGCCUGGACUCAAUUAUCUCACAUCAUCCAACUCCAAAGAGGUCAGACUGCAAAUAGGGUCAGAUUAACUCACGAGACCAAGAAAACGAUUUCUACUACAGACACAACAUUAUCUGCAGGCAACUUGAGUAGUGGGCAGCUACAAGGGGGAAAGGUUGAAGUCCUGUUUAUGAGAUGUGCCAAGGGUGGACCAAUUCCACAGUGUUCAACUGAGGACAUCUGCGUCGUUGGUGAUCAGCAAUUUCUGCUUUCUCCUAACCAUGCUCCCAGCAUCCAGAAGUGUUGGAAAACCCAGCAUCCAUACAUAGAGUCAGUCAACAAGCCUUAUUAAAUGCUUACUAUGUCCUGGGCACUAUACUAAGCUCUGAAGAUGUAAAUACAAGAAGUUUACUUUUGAUGAUGAGGAAAGACAACAUAUUAAAAGGAAGCUGAAAAUGGGGGGCUGGGGAAAGUUACCAGUGUGGAGCGUGGUAGAGGAAGUCAGGAGUACAGUCUGAAAAGGAAUGAUCAUUUUAAUCAUUGGCCUCUGCCAGGGACUCCCGGUGGGUGGUAACUGACAUACGUCCCUGUGCUACAUCGCAGAUGUGCGGAGGCUGUUUGCCAGUAGGCUCACAGGCUUUCUUCUGAGAGAGAUCACCUCCCAAGACUUCCCAAAUCCACACUGCUGGGCAGGAGCCCGGGGCCCAAAGUCCCUUUGAACAGUUCAGCUCCACCAUUCAGGAAAAGGCUCCAAAUAGCACCAUCCAAAAGAGUUGCUUAACAAUGCAAAGAUCCAAGACAGCUCUGAAGGACAUUUUUUUUUUAGUUCAAAGCAAAGGCAUUUAAUGAAAUAGUAUAUUUUGUUACAAUAGCUUUUUUUGCUAUAAAAUAAGUGAUAAAACAUUUGAUUUUGAGAAGAUGUGAAUUAGGAACAGCUAAAAAAGAACAGUUCAAGAGCCAAAUCUGAGUUCAAAUCUAGCCUGAGAUCUGAAGAAUUUUUGAAAAAGAAUGCUAUCCACCUCCAGAGAAAGAACUGCUGGAGUCAGAAAGUAGAAGAAAACAUAUGGUUUAUAUUUGUUUAUAUGGGUAUAUGAUUUGGGGUUUGGGUUUUAAAAGAUUAUUGCAGAAAUGAACAAUAUAGAAAUAUGUAUUGAGUGAUAAUCUAUGUAAAAUCCAAUGGAAUUGCUUGUCAACUCCAGGAGUUGGGAGGGAAGAGGGGAGGGAAAGAACAAGAAUCAUGUAACAUUGUGAAAAAUGGAUUUGAACUCUGGACUUCAAUCCCCACAAGCCCUUGCUCCACUUCCCCAAAAUGCUUUGUAAUCUCACUGAAUUCUCAGGUGGGCCGAGAUCGAGAAGUGCUUUAACCUGAUUGCAAAGGCUUUUGUGGUCUUUUGGACUUCCAUUUUGGAGCAGACGUGUCUCUUUCAUGAUGUGAGGUUAUCUUGUCUAGGCCUCUCUGGCCUAGGCAUGUGUUUUCUUAUCCUGUAUUUUCUUUAAUCCUUAACCUUAAAUAAACCUCAUAAAAAUAUAA